GACGAACGCUGGCGGCGUGCUUAACACAUGCAAGUCGAACGGUGAAGCGCCUUCCUUUUUGGUGGGUGUGGAUGAGUGGCGAACGGGUGAGUAACACGUGAGUAACCUGCCCCCUUCUUCUGGAUAACCGCAUGAAAGUGUGGCUAAUACGGGAUAUUCUGGGUCUGUCGCAUGAUGGGUCUGGGAAAGAUAUUGUUUCGGUGGGGGAUGGGCUCGCGGCCUAUCAGCUUGUUGGUGGGGUGAUGGCCUACCAAGGCGGUGACGGGUAGCCGGCCUGAGAGGGUGACGGUCACACUGGGACUGAGACACGGCCCAGACUCCUACGGGAGGCAGCAGUGGGGAAUAUUGCACAAUGGGCGCAAGCCUGAUGCAGCGACGCCGCGUGAGGGAUGGAGGCCUUCGGGUUGUGAACCUCUUUCGCCAGUGAAGCAGGCCUGCCUCGUUUGUGGGUGGGUUGACGGUAGCUGGAUAAGAAGCGCCGGCUAACUACGU
rnacentral:rRNA from 1 species